CUUUAAAAAGAAAGAGGCAAUUACCUUAUAUCUUACUCUUCCCAGAAUGAUUUAUUUCCCUCAUGGUACUAAUAACGUGCUUUCUGAAUAUUACUUUUCUUGCAUGAGCAGAGCACUAAGUGAUCAUCAAAGACCACUGCAAAGCUAAAUUGAAGAAAAGUUUUCAUGUAUUGGUCUUUCAUUUUUCAGUUGAUUUCUUCAUGAAACCUGAUGUCAUUCCUCAGCCUCUCUCCAGAAAUUCAUUCCACAUCACUGGAAACUCAUCAGCAUUUUGCAUUAGCUGGAACCUGCCUGGGAAUGUUAACCACGGAAAUAUAUAUUACCUGCUUAAAUCGCUUGCCCUUUCUAUUGUAGAGGACCUUGAUACACCUAAGUAUUGUUUGAGGGACCUUCCACCGUUCACAGAAUUUGAUCUCAGUGUAAAACCUUAUACGUAUUGGAGAUCUGCUGCUGAAACCUUAUUAAUCCUUCAUUCUCCAGAAUCUGAGCCAUCUACCCCUGAAAACCCAAGGAUUUUUGUGACUAUAUCGUCUAACGUUUCUCUCAAUUUAACAAAUUCAGAAGUGGAAGUGAGAUGGGAUCCCCCCAGUUCACCAAAUGGAAUUCUUCAGGGCUACAUGGUGUCCUAUACUCUUAUUGAUUAUAUUGGAGUUAAUAGGAAGACUCAAGAGUAGCAUGCCAUAUUACCAGCCAAUGUGACAAGGUUCAAAUUGGUGAAAGGUGUACCUGAACCAUCUUUUACAUUUCAGAUUGCAGGUUUUACAAAUGCUGGUCUGGGACCCACUGCAGAGGUGAAGAUGAAAAGUAUAAAAGAUGCCGACCCUAUACCUUAUGUGUGGAUUGUAGACGACAGACAAAUUAUGCUUUUUGAUAUGGAUGCCAAGGAAAUUGCUCAGAAGAUAUCUCUGUCAUCAGUUAUUGAUAUGACUUACAUCAAACAAAAUGGCACGCCCUACUUUUUGUCCCAUAAUUUGCUUUUGAGUAUUAGUGUGGAUUUUGCUAAGGAAAUGCAGCUUAUAGAUAGGAAUCUCCCCGGAAUACCAAAAGCAAUUGCUUCUGACUGGAUUGGGCAAAAACUCUACAUAAUCAUAAAUGGAGAAGACCAGAAGCGCAGUGAUGUUUACUGGCUUGAUCUAGAAGACAAAAGAAGGAGGCUGAGAAAAAUGGUGUCUGUGAGUGAAGACAUUCUCUCUAUAGGAUUGGAUCCACAUAAAAGGUAAUCUUCCAGCCUCAAGUAGAGAGCGCCAAUACCAUUGCGUCCUCAGGUUGGCAGCAGCCAGAAAGGCUUGGGGAUGGGCGAUGGGGAGGAAGAAGUAUGUGACUGCCAGGCAUUGAGGGAUAGAGUGCUCUUCCUUCAAUGAUGUUGGAUACAUUGACGAGGCAUUGCCACACGUAGCAUGGCAACUGAUGGCACAUUUCCACUAUCACAAUUUCUGUAUUAACUUAAGAAACCCUAUAAAAACCAAACAAAAUUGCUUAUUGCCAAUAGUUUUAAAGUGAAAACUCAUAUUCAGCUCUACUGUAUUCUACAUGUCGAAAUUUGUGUUAUUUUCAGAAACUAUCAAGCAUUGAGUAAAUUCAUCCCUAUGUUCAACCCAGAAUUGGAUUAUUUAAGCAACUUUUGUAAAUUUAAAAACAAAAUAUAACAGUAGAGUAGUGAUCAGAUUUCUGGUGGUGAUUCCAAGUAAUAUUUUGAAUUUUUCUAAUAAGUUCUAUUAUUUGAAGAAGUUUAGAAUACCUCCUAUUUUAUUAGAUUUGAUAAGUCUUUGAAGAGUUAGGCAUUAUGGAGUAGGUUCUUUACUUUUAUUAAUAAGUUACUUUCCUUUAAUUUUAAGACUCACUUUUUAAUGAAACAUACCCAGAUUGGGGUGUUUGUAAUAUAAGACAACAUGAUGUCCCUUCAGGCCCCCUCCUCUAUUUUGUUAGUGAUUUAUAUUAAAUUAAAAGAAAUGUCAUUAGAGUUGUAUUGAGUGUCUUCCUCCUAGCACCAACCAGGAAAAUUCCUAAUAUCUAGGCAAAUAUUUGUUCUCUAUUUUAACUUGCGUGUGUGUGUGUGUGUGUGUUGUAUAAAAUCCCAACUCUUUUAGUAGUUGAAGUCCAAAAACUUGGGUUUCCAUAUAUACACCUGACAAAGUGGAUAUGUGCCUGUGUACUGUUAUUAUUAUUUACCAUAAUAAAGUAAUAAAGGCACAAAAGUGGUCUAGUGGUUAUUCUGGUUUGAAUUUUAUUCUCCCAACAUUCUAUAGGAUGCUUUUUCUUUUCUUUUUUUUUGGGGGGGGGCACGAUAUUAACAUUCUUUCGUUUCUCUUUUUGUUGCCAUGCACACUUCCAUAUUGAUCAUUAUCGUAAGAGCACACUCAUGCAUAACCAAAGCACCACAAUGAAACCCUAAAUACACUGAUGGGAAAGAGGACGCCAACAGUUCUUUCUCUGGAGGUGGAUGGCCUUCCCCAAGACAAGUCUUUCCGGAUUGCCCCAAGGCAUUGCAUUGCUGAGAGUAGCCACGUUUUCAUAGAUAAUCAUUGUAUAAUAUUGAUGGAUAUUCGCAUUUUUCCUACUAGUUGUGACCUCUGAGGAUUUCAAGAAGGGUCCUUAAGGUUUUGGUGAUUUGUCCAUAAUUGGCUUUCUAUUUGUAAUCACCUGAUGUUUGGUCGAGCAUUUCUUCCUUGACUGCGCGCUCUAACUGAAAUGCGGGGUGAGAAGCAUCCUCUCUAGUACUGUUUCUAUCCACAUGCCUUUAAAGGAUCAAUUAGUGCCGAUAACGACCACCCUUAUUCACUCUAGCUCGGUUAGACUUGCAGAGCUCUUCUUGCACUCUGAACCCCAAAUUGCCAGCCAGGUCCUCCACAUUUUUUAUGGUCCUCCAUCGGAGUCAGAGGCUUGAAUGCACAAGUCAUAUCUACUAGAGUCCAUCUUGUGGGUGUGUGUUCAUCCUUGCCACGGUAAUUGAGGACGUGGUCACAAGUAGGAUCUGUUGGGUGACCAUCUCCACCUGUUGCCCUAAUUCAAAUUGUCAACAGUUCAUUAUUGAAAUGGCAUUCCAAUACUUCCCCUAUAAGGAAAGUUCCGUGAAAGCAGCAUCUGAAACAUAAGCUGUGUUUCCUAGGCCACAGCAGACCAGAUGGUAUUAUGUUAAUGACAUUUAAAAAUGUUUUAAUUUUUUUGUUAUUCUGAACUUAAUACCCUCAAGCACGAACAUUUCCACACACAAAGCAAAGCAGAAAAAAGAGGAUUGCCUAUGGAACUGCGAAUCUCUAUCACACAGAGACAGUUUCCCUUUAAAAGCAUAUUAUAAGUUCAACAAACGCAAAAAUAAGGUCAGCACAUUACUUUCAUAUCUGCCUGGUGUCUUCCACUGAAUCUCUCUUCCUGUCCUUUUCUGUGGGUGCCUCCACAUGCGUCGUUGAUGCUCUUUUCUGUCUUUGCUUUUUUUCAUUGCCAUCACUAUCAUGAGCCGUUAAAGCCUUUGAUUCGUAAACAUUAUCAAAGGAUAACAGAUUUACAAAAACCCAACAACCUUUGCCAUUAGGCAAUAACAGUCGGCAUCCUCUCCUUUACCUUAAAUACUCCCUACUAACGUUACCUUCAUGCACGACACAGAUUGCAAAGUGCAUGUCUCCGAUGAGUGACAGAAAUGCACUUUACCGACUCCUCGGGGUGC